rnacentral:rRNA from 1 species
AGUGAACGCUGGCGGUAGGCCUAACACAUGCGAGUCGAACGGCAGCACAGUAAGAGCUUGCUCUUACGGGUGGCGAGUGGCGGACGGGUGAGGAAUACAUCGGAAUCUACUUUUUCGUGGGGGAUAACGUAGGGAAACUUACGCUAAUACCGCAUACGACCUACGGGUGAAAGCAGGGGAUCUUCGGACCUUGCGCGAUUGAAUGAGCCGAUGUCGGAUUAGCUAGUUGGCGGGGUAAAGGCCCACCAAGGCGACGAUCCGUAGCUGGUCUGAGAGGAUGAUCAGCCACACUGGAACUGAGACACGGUCCAGACUCCUACGGGAGGCAGCAGUGGGGAAUAUUGGACAAUGGGCGCAAGCCUGAUCCAGACAUACCGCGUGGGUGAAGAAGGCCUUCGGGUUGUAAAGCCCUUUUGUUGGGAAAGAAAAGCAGCAGGUUAAUACCCCGCUGUUCUGACGGUACCCAAAGAAUAAGCACCGGCUAACUUCGUG